GGUUAAGCGACUAAGCGUACACGGUGGAUGCCCUGGCAGUCAGAGGCGAUGAAGGACGUGCUAAUCUGCGAUAAGCGUCGGUAAGGUGAUAUGAACCGUUAUAACCGGCGAUUUCCGAAUGGGGAAACCCAGUGUGAUUCGUCACACUAUCAUUAACUGAAUCCAUAGGUUAAUGAGGCGAACCGGGGGAACUGAAACAUCUAAGUACCCCGAGGAAAAGAAAUCAACCGAGAUUCCCCCAGUAGCGGCGAGCGAACGGGGAGCAGCCCAGAGCCUGAAUCAGUGUGUGUGUUAGUGGAAGCGUCUGGAAAGGCGUGCGAUACAGGGUGACAGCCCCGUACACAAAAAUGCACAUACUGUGAGCUCGAUGAGUAGGGCGGGACACGUGGUAUCCUGUCUGAAUAUGGGGGGACCAUCCUCCAAGGCUAAAUACUCCUGACUGACCGAUAGUGAACCAGUACCGUGAGGGAAAGGCGAAAAGAACCCCGGCGAGGGGAGUGAAAAAGAACCUGAAACCGUGUACGUACAAGCAGUGGGAGCACGCUUAGGCGUGUGACUGCGUACCUUUUGUAUAAUGGGUCAGCGACUUAUAUUCUGUAGCAAGGUUAACCGAAUAGGGGAGCCGAAGGGAAACCGAGUCUUAACUGGGCGUUAAGUUGCAGGGUAUAGACCCGAAACCCGGUGAUCUAGCCAUGGGCAGGUUGAAGGUUGGGUAACACUAACUGGAGGACCGAACCGACUAAUGUUGAAAAAUUAGCGGAUGACUUGUGGCUGGGGGUGAAAGGCCAAUCAAACCGGGAGAUAGCUGGUUCUCCCCGAAAGCUAUUUAGGUAGCGCCUCGUGAAUUCAUCUCCGGGGGUAGAGCACUGUUUCGGCAAGGGGGUCAUCCCGACUUACCAACCCGAUGCAAACUGCGAAUACCGGAGAAUGUUAUCACGGGAGACACACGGCGGGUGCUAACGUCCGUCGUGAAGAGGGAAACAACCCAGACCGCCAGCUAAGGUCCCAAAGUCAUGGUUAAGUGGGAAACGAUGUGGGAAGGCCCAGACAGCCAGGAUGUUGGCUUAGAAGCAGCCAUCAUUUAAAGAAAGCGUAAUAGCUCACUGGUCGAGUCGGCCUGCGCGGAAGAUGUAACGGGGCUAAACCAUGCACCGAAGCUGCGGCAGCGACGCUUAUGCGUUGUUGGGUAGGGGAGCGUUCUGUAAGCCUGUGAAGGUGUGCUGUGAGGUAUGCUGGAGGUAUCAGAAGUGCGAAUGCUGACAUAAGUAACGAUAAAGCGGGUGAAAAGCCCGCUCGCCGGAAGACCAAGGGUUCCUGUCCAACGUUAAUCGGG
rnacentral:rRNA from 1 species